UUCCCCCAGUAGCGGCGAGCGAACGGGGAGCAGCCCAGAGCCUGAAUCAGUGUGUGUGUUAGUGGAAGCGUCUGGAAAGGCGCGCGAUACAGGGUGACAGCCCCGUACACAAAAAUGCACAUGCUGUGAGCUCGAUGAGUAGGGCGGGACACGUGGUAUCCUGUCUGAAUAUGGGGGGACCAUCCUCCAAGGCUAAAUACUCCUGACUGACCGAUAGUGAACCAGUACCGUGAGGGAAAGGCGAAAAGAACCCCGGCGAGGGGAGUGAAAAAGAACCUGAAACCGUGUACGUACAAGCAGUGGGAGCACGCUUAGGCGUGUGACUGCGUACCUUUUGUAUAAUGGGUCAGCGACUUAUAUUCUGUAGCAAGGUUAACCGAAUAGGGGAGCCGAAGGGAAACCGAGUCUUAACUGGGCGUUAAGUUGCAGGGUAUAGACCCGAAACCCGGUGAUCUAGCCAUGGGCAGGUUGAAGGUUGGGUAACACUAACUGGAGGACCGAACCGACUAAUGUUGAAAAAUUAGCGGAUGACUUGUGGCUGGGGGUGAAAGGCCAAUCAAACCGGGAGAUAGCUGGUUCUCCCCGAAAGCUAUUUAGGUAGCGCCUCGUGAAUUCAUCUCCGGGGGUAGAGCACUGUUUCGGCAAGGGGGUCAUCCCGACUUACCAACCCGAUGCAAACUGCGAAUACCGGAGAAUGUUAUCACGGGAGACACACGGCGGGUGCUAACGUCCGUCGUGAAGAGGGAAACAACCCAGACCGCCAGCUAAGGUCCCAAAGUCAUGGUUAAGUGGGAAACGAUGUGGGAAGGCCCAGACAGCCAGGAUGUUGGCUUAGAAGCAGCCAUCAUUUAAAGAAAGCGUAAUAGCUCACUGGUCGAGUCGGCCUGCGCGGAAGAUGUAACGGGGCUAAACCAUG
rnacentral:rRNA from 1 species